rnacentral:rRNA from 1 species
AAGCAACGCGCAGACCUUACCAGCCCUUGACAUACCGGUCGCGGACACAGAGAUGUGUCUUUCAGUUCGGCUGGACCGGAUACAGGUGCUGCAUGGCUGUCGUCAGCUCGUGUCGUGGGAUGUUGGGUUAAGUCCCGCAACGAGCGCAACCCUCGCCCUUAGUUGCCAGCAUUAGUUGGGCACUCUAAGGGGACUGCCGGUGAUAAGCCGAGAGGAAGGUGGGGAUGACGUCAAGUCCUCAUGGCCCUUACGGGCUGGGCUACACACGUGCUACAAUGGUGGUGACAGUGGGCAGCGAGCACGCGAGUGUGAGCUAAUCUCCAAAAGCCAUCUCAGUUCGGAUUGCACUCUGCAACUCGAGUGCAUGAAGUUGGAAUCGCUAGUAAUCGCGGAUCAGCAUGCCGCGGUGAAUACGUUCCCGGGCCUU